CNGGUUACCUUGUUACGACUUCCUGAGCCAUGAUCAAACUCUAGUUACCUUGUUACGACUUCCUGAGCCAUGAUCAAACUCUGGUUACCUUGUUACGACUUCCUGAGCCAUGAUCAAACUCUGGUUACCUUGUUACGACUUCCUGAGCCAUGAUCAAACUCUAGUUACCUUGUUACGACUUCACCCCAGUCAUGAAACACAAAGUGGUAAUCGUCCUCCCGAAGGUUAGACUAACUACUUCUUUUGCAUCCCACUCCCAUGGUGUGACGGGCGGUGUGUACAAGGCCCGGGAACGUAUUCACCGCAGUAUGCUGACCUGCGAUUACUAGCGAUUCCGACUUCACGGAGUCGAGUUGCAGACCCGAUCCGGACUACCGACGAAC
rnacentral:rRNA from 1 species